rnacentral:rRNA from 1 species
UACGUAGGGUGCAAGCGUUGUCCGGAAUUAUUGGGCGUAAGGGGCUCGUAGGCGGUCUGUCGCGUCUGCUGUGAAAACUCGGGGCUUAACCCCGGGCCUGCAGUGGGUACGGGCAGACUAGAGUGCGGUAGGGGAGUGUGGAAUUCCUGGUGGAGCGGUGAAAUGCGCAGAUAUCAGGAGGAACACCCGUAGCGAAGGCGGCACUCUGGGCCGAUACUGACACUGAGGAGCGAAAGCGUGGGGAGCGAACAGG